rnacentral:rRNA from 1 species
UUUUAUUUGAGAGUUUGAUCCUGGCUCAGGAUGAACGCUGGCGGCGUGCCUAACACAUGCAAGUUGAGCGAUUUACUUCGGUAAAGAGCGGCGGACGGGUGAGUAACGCGUGGGUAACCUACCCUGUACACACGGAUAACAUACCGAAAGGUAUGCUAAUACGGGAUAAUAUAUUUGAGAGGCAUCUCUUGAAUAUCAAAGGUGAGCCAGUACAGGAUGGACCCGCGUCUGAUUAGCUAGUUGGUAAGGUAACGGCUUACCAAGGCGACGAUCAGUAGCCGACCUGAGAGGGUGAUCGGCCACAUUGGAACUGAGACACGGUCCAAACUCCUACGGGAGGCAGCAGUGGGGAAUAUUGCACAAUGGGCGAAAGCCUGAUGCAG